UAAGUAAGUACUUCGGUACAUCGGUGACAGGUGGUGCAUGGUUGUCGUCAGCUCGUGUCGUGAGAUGUUGGGUUAAGUCCCGCAACGAGCGCAACCCCUAUUGUUAGUUGCCAUCAUUCAGUUGGGCACUCUAGCGAGACUGCCGGUAAUAAACCGGAGGAAGGUGGGGAUGACGUCAAAUCAUCAUGCCCCUUAUGACCUGGGCUACACACGUGCUACAAUGGUUGGUACAACGAGUUGCGAGUCGGUGACGGCGAGCUAAUCUCUUAAAGCCAAUCUCAGUUCGGAUUGUAGGCUGCAACUCGCCUACAUGAAGUCGGAAUCGCUAGUAAUCGCGGAUCAGCACGCCGCGGUGAAUACGUUCCCGGGCCUU
rnacentral:rRNA from 1 species